CAAUCUUUGACGCAAUGGCGCUCUCGGGAUAUACCUGGGAGCACGCCUCUCUCAGAAUCGAUCUCACUCUCACCUACAUUUUCUUAGGAGAAUGUGCGGUGGUGGUUGGGAGUCAAGCGCGUGCAACUACGCGUUUGUCUCUUUAAAUGAGUGGAGCUGUAGUGGCGCCCUGUGCGCAGCUGCCCGCCUCCGUCGUCUCUUACGUGGCUAGUUUCACAGCAAUGUGGAUUUAACAAUACGUAAUGGGAUGGCGCUGGUGGCGCUGCGCGUUAUACAGCGUGUGCUAGCCCUUAUGCAACUACAGUGUAUAGUCAAUAAGCGUGGUUCUGUCAAUUACCAUCUUAGCUUGCUUUAACAUAUAGCAAUCAACUCGCUAUCAUUGCCUAGCAAUGAGCGACAAUCGGAGCCGAUUUCUGAUCGGUCCCUUCCGACUGGCGUUAUAACAGAGGUUGAUUGUGUUUUAGCAUAGCGAUGUAUGUAUGGUUUACCAGAACGUGGCUGUGUGGUGCUGGCGUUUGCCGGCCCAGUCGUUUGAUUUGAUCUGAGAUGAAGCGAGAUUACCCCCUGAAUUUAAGCAUAUUAAUAAGGGGAGGAAAAGAAACUAACAAGGAUUCCCCUAGUAACGGCGAGUGAAGCGGGAAUAGCUCAGACUGAGAAUCGAGUGUGCAUGCGCGCCCUCGAGUUGUAUAGUGUCGACNAUUGUUCAGCGUGUGGUCCGGGCCUAAGUCCUUUGGAACAGGUAUCAGAGAGGGUGAGAAUCCCGUCU
rnacentral:rRNA from 1 species